UGUGAUGUCUCUGUGACAUUCGGAA
rnacentral:misc_RNA from 1 species